rnacentral:misc_RNA from 1 species
CCAAUUUAUUUAUACAACAUAAAAUAAUAUAUAUCUUUGUUUAAUGCAUGUCAAUAUAUAUAUUUUAUUUUUUAUGUUAUUUAAACAACACAUUCAAAAACACCAAUAUUUAAAAAACAUAAAAAUAAAAUCAAAGUUUAAAGUAUAAAAAUAAAAACCCUGGCAAUAACCUACUCUCCCGCGA